rnacentral:misc_RNA from 1 species
AAGUCGUAACAAGGUUUCCGUAGGUGAACCUGCGGAAGGAUCAUUAACACGUUUCCAACGUUAAAACCCCUGUGAACUUUCAGCCUGCUCUUGGCCCGUGUGAAGCAGCAAUUCCGGUAAAUCAAGUGGGAGGAACAGUUUUGAUUCGGAACCUCUGCUCCAUAUGCGCACGCUGCAAUUGAGCGGUAGAAGCAGUGGCAUGGCGUCCCCAAGCCUCCAGUGAAUGAAAGUGUCACUGGAAAGUGUAAGGAUAACGCUUCUCGGUUACAGGGUCACCGCGCCCCUAAUCACUCCCUCUGAACCGUACGCCGGCGCCGUUGAAAAGCUGCGCUAAAAAAAACCGAACAACUGUUAACAAUGGAUAUCUUGGUUCCC